CAUGCCGUAAACGAUGAAUGCUAAGUGUUCGGGGGUUUCCACCCCUUAGUGCUGCAGCUAACGCAUUAAGCACUCCGCCUGGGGAGUACGACCGCAAGGUUGAAACUCAAAGGAAUUGACGGGGGCCCGCACAAGCGGUGGAGCAUGUGGUUUAAUUCGAAGCAACGCGAAGAACCUUACCAGGUCUUGACAUCCCAGUGACCACUCUAGAGAUAGAGUUUUCCCUUCGGGGACAUUGGUGACAGGUGG
rnacentral:rRNA from 1 species